UACGUAGGCAGCAAGCGUUGGUUCGGAGUUACUGGGCGUAAAGGGUGUGUAGGCGGUUCUUUAAGUUUGCUGUGAAAUCUCCCGGCUUAACCGGGGAGGUGCGGUGAAUACUGAGGGACUAGAGUACGGGAGAGGAAAGUGGAAUUCCUGGUGUAGCGGUGAAAUGCGUAGAUAUCAGGAGGAACACCUGUGGCGAAAGCGGCUCACUGGACCAUAACUGACGCUGAUGCACGAAAGCUAGGGGAGCAAACAGG
rnacentral:rRNA from 1 species